rnacentral:rRNA from 1 species
UGCAAGUCGAGCGCGGGAAGCGAGCUGAAGCCCUUCGGGGUGGACGCUCGUGGAACGAGCGGCGGACGGGUGAGUAACACGUGGGCAACCUACCUGUGAGACGGGGAUAACUCCGGGAAACCGGGGCUAAUACCGGAUAACGCAUCGAACCGCAUGGUUCGAUGAUCAAAGAUGGCUUCUAGCUAUCACUCACAGAUGGGCCCGCGGCGCAUUAGUUAGUUGGUGAGGUAACGGCUCACCAAGGCGACGAUGCGUAGCCGACCUGAGAGGGUGAUCGGCCACACUGGGACUGAGACACGGCCCAGACUCCUACGGGAGGCAGCAGUAGGGAAUCAUCCGCAAUGGACGCAAGUCUGACGGUGCAACGCCGCGUGAGCGAUGAAGGUCUUCGGAUCGUAAAGCUCUGUUGUGAGGGAAGAACAAGUGCCGUUCGAAUAGGGCGGCACCUUGACGGUACCUCACCAGAAAGCCCCGGCUAACUACGUGCCAGCAGCCGCGGUAAUACGUAGGGGGCAAGCGUUGUCCGGAAUUAUUGGGCGUAAAGCGCGCGCAGGCGGUUCCUUAAGUCUGAUGUGAAAGGCCACAGCUCAACUGUGGAGGGCCAUUGGAAACUGGGGAACUUGAGGACAGAAGAGGAGAGCGGAAUUCCACGUGUAGCGGUGAAAUGCGUAGAUAUGUGGAGGAACACCAGUGGCGAAGGCGGCUCUCUGGUCUGUAACUGACGCUGAGGCGCGAAAGCAUGGGUAGCGAACAGGAUUAGAUACCCUGGUAGUCCAUGCCGUAAACGUUGAGUGCUAGGUGUUAGGGGGUCCAACCCUUAGUGCUGCAGUUAACGCAAUAAGCACUCCGCCUGGGGAGUACGGCCGCAAGGCUGAAACUCAAAGGAAUUGACGGGGGCCUGCACAAGCGGUGGAGCAUGUGGUUUAAUUCGACGCAACGCGAAGAACCUUACCAGGUCUUGACAUCUUCGGACAGCCCAAGAGAUUGGGUCUUCCCUUCGGGGACCGAAUGACAGGUGGUGCAUGGUUGUCGUCAGCUCGUGUCGUGAGAUGUUGGGUUAAGUCCCGUAACGAGCGCAACCCCUGAUCUUAGUUGCCAGCAUU